rnacentral:rRNA from 1 species
AACGAACGCUGGCGGCAGGCCUAACACAUGCAAGUCGAGCGAGGACUUCGGCCCUAGCGGCGGACGGGUGAGUAACGCGUGGGAACGUGCCCCUUGGUACGGAAUAGCCCCGGGAAACUGGGAGUAAUACCGUAUGAGCUCUACGGAGGAAAGAUUUAUCGCCAAGGGAUCGGCCCGCGUUGGAUUAGGUAGUUGGUGGGGUAAUGGCCUACCAAGCCGACAAUCCAUAGCUGGUUUGAGAGGAUGAUCAGCCACACUGGGACUGAGACACGGCCCAGACUCCUACGGGAGGCAGCAGUGGGGAAUCUUAGACAAUGGGCGCAAGCCUGAUCUAGCCAUGCCGCGUGAGCGAUGAAGGCCUUAGGGUUGUAAAGCUCUUUCAGCUGGGAAGAUAAUGACUGUACCAGCAGAAGAAGCCCCGGCUAACUCCGUGCCAGCCGCCGCAGUAAGAC